GUGCUUACUUCAGCAGCACAUUUACUAAAAUUGGAACCAUACAGAGAUUAGCAUGGCCCCUGCGCAAGGAUGAUAUGCAAAUUCGUGAAGCAUUUCUGUAUCUU
ensembl:snRNA U6 U6 spliceosomal RNA